CAAACCAUUUUUUCAACAAAAAUAGUUUCCUUCUUAAGAAUAACUUGGUUUCUGGGUUUUAAUUUAAACCCUCUGGAACUUCUAGGAAUUUCCCAAAGUUGCUAUUUAUUGAGUGUAUUGUUUUCUUGAUGCCUAGUGAGAUUCAGAUUUCUUAAAGUAUUUUUAUGCAUUUUGGUAAUGAGAUUUUUAGGGAAAAACUAGAAAGUCGGUGAAAUAUUUGUUAGAAAAUUAAGAGAAAAAGAACAUUUGCUUAUAACAAUGCAUUAAAUUUCUCUUGUUGUGUAAUAAAUUACUAAAAUUAGUGGCUUAAGAUGACAUACGUUUAUUAUCUCCUAGUUUUGUGAGUAAGGAAUUCAGUCCUGGUUAGGUUGUGGCCCCCGCUCAGGGGAUCACAAUUUGCAAUCAGGAUAUUGCCUGGGCUUCAUCUUCUUCUGGAUGGUUAAUUAUGGAAGACUUCCCUUCCAUGAGUAUUCAGGUUUGUUAUGGUUUGAACCUGAAUGAUCCCUAAAAACUCAUGGGUUAGGCCGCAACAAUGUUCACAGGUGAAAAAUGGGACUAUAAGGGCUCUGACCUCAUGGGUGUAUUGAUCCAUUUGAUGGACUAAUAAUUUGAAUGAAUUACUGGGUAGUAGUUUUAGGCAGGUGGGGCAGAGGUGGAGGAAGUAAGUCACUGGGGGCACAUCCUGGAAGGCUUUAUUUUCUUUCGAGCUCCUUCCUCUUUUUCUCUCUCUCCUACCUGGCUGCCAUGAACCGAGUAGCUUUCCUCUGCUGGGCCCUUCCACCAUGAUGUUUCUGCUGUGGAGCAAGCCAACCAUGAGCCUGUGAGCCUAUAAACAAGGCUUUCCUGCUCUAAGUUGUUCUUGUCAGGUAUUUUGGCUACAGUGAUGAAAAGCUAACAGAAGGUUGUUGGCAGAAUUCUUUUCCUUGUGCUUGUACAGCUGGGGCUCCCAACAUUUUGCUGGCUAUAAACUGGAGGCUGUUCUCACGUCCUUGAUGCCACCACAGUUCCCAGAAGCCAUCUGCAGGUGGGCUUCCU
rnacentral:lncRNA from 1 species